rfam:Streptomyces griseofuscus strain NG1-7 NG1-17_2_1, whole genome shotgun sequence.
CUUCAGCGAGCCCAGCCAUAACGGCCGGUCUUCGGGGCGCUCCCGGCCGUAGGUGGCGAGGAGGGCCUGUGCCUC